GGUCCCAAUCAUUUAAGGUUAUGAAGAUUCUACUAUAGAUCUGCAGUCUGUUGCACUGACAGAAUAAAUGAAUCUUAUAUUGGUGACUUUGGUCUUGAUUUGGCCUCUUCUUGUUUUAUCAGAAGAACAAAAAGAUUGUGUAUUACUGAAAUUACACGAAAGACAUAAGCGACAACUUAAAGAAGUAAUAAAUAUAAUAUGUGUUAUUACAUGUUUAUGUUUCAUAAUUAUUGAUAUUUUAAUAUAUUUUCAGAUAGGCAAGAUCAUAAUGAGAACUCCAAAUUGUUUUGCUGCAGUUUCUCAAGAAUUACAAGUCAGGCUUCCAGCCUAUUAUAGGCAAUUUGCAGCUUUGAUAGUCUAUUUGGUAUUAUUAUCUACUCAUUUCAGCAACUUUAACAUAUUAUUAUUAGGUACUGUGAGUGUGAAUUUCAGGGUGGC
rnacentral:misc_RNA from 1 species